CAACAACCUCCAAGACACCAUUACUGACUAUGGGACAACCCCAAAUGGAAGUACCCCCAUCCCCAACCAUCACAGAAGUUUUCAAAGAACUCUUCCUAGAAGAGUCACUAGGGAAAAAAAUCAAAACUGAGUAAGUAAAUUAUAUUAAUAAACAUACUUUUUAUUAUAAUUGUAAUAGAACAAUAAGUAAGAACUAAACAUACUUAAUCAUUCUAUAUGAACAACAGAUCCACCAGAAGUGCAAUAGCAACAAGGUGAAGAAAGAAGCUCUUUUGAAAAAGGAUCAGUUGAUUUUUACCAUAGUUGGAGUAUAUUUUUUGUAGCUCCAUUGUAUAGUUAUGACUAUGGUAAAAAUGAAUAGACAAUCAAACAAUUAUUAUGUUUCAUAUAGCAACACUUACUAACAUUUUGUCCACAUCUUUUGAGCAAUCUCAUCUACACAGCAAUGAUGUAUGUGCCAAAUUAUAUACAACGUCUUUUUGCAGGUUUCUGUUAGCCACAACAUCUACAUGAAGGGUCUUUUAAAACACUCUUAACAUUCAUUUCAUGUUCAUAUGUAUGAACAAUCAUUUGUAACUUUCUAUUCCAAAUUAAUUUUGUAACACACUUUUCUACUUAUCUUACUACUCUUCUCAUAUAGCUACCUAAUU
rnacentral:lncRNA from 1 species